AUGAAAGACUAGGGGUGCCUAUGUGAGUGGGCUGAGAAAAAGGUGUUCCUUUUACCCUCGUACCUGAUCUGGAUCACGCCAGCGUAGGGAAGUCACCGCAGCCGUAU
rnacentral:ncRNA from 2 species